AGAGUUUGAUCAUGGCUCAGGAUGAACGCUAGCGGCAGGCUUAAUACAUGCAAGUCGAGGGGCAGCAUGACUGUAGCAAUACAGUUGAUGGCGACCGGCAAACGGGUGCGGAACACGUACAGAACCUUCCUUCGAGCGGGGAAUAGCCCAGAGAAAUUUGGAUUAAUACCCCAUAGUAUUACGGAGUGGCAUCACUUUGUAAUUAAAGAUUUAUCACUUGAAGAUGGCUGUGCGGCUGAUUAGGUAGUUGGCGGGGUAAUAGCCCACCAAGCCUGCGAUCAGUAACUGGUGUGAGAGCACGACCAGUCACACGGGCACUGAGACACGGGCCCGACUCCUACGGGAGGCAGCAGUAAGGAAUAUUGGUCAAUGGACGAAAGUCUGAACCAGCCAUGCCGCGUGGAGGAUGAAGGUCCUCUGGAUUGUAAACUUCUUUUAUAUGGGACGAAAAAAGGCUUUUCUAAGUCGUCUGACGGUACCAUAUGAAUAAGCACCGGCUAACUCCGUGCCAGCAGCCGCGGUAAUACGGAGGGUGCAAGCGUUAUCCGGAUUCACUGGGUUUAAAGGGUGCGUAGGUGGGUCUGUAAGUCCGUGGUGAAAUCUCCGAGCUUAACUUGGAAACUGCCAUGGAUACUAUAGGUCUUGAAUACUGUGGAGGUCAGCGGAAUAUGUCAUGUAGCGGUGAAAUGCUUAGAUAUGACAUAGAGCACCAAUUGCGAAGGCAGCUGGCUACACAAAUAUUGACACUGAGGCACGAAAGCGUGGGGAUCAAACAGGAUUAGAUACCCUAGUAGUCC
rnacentral:rRNA from 1 species